GACGGAGGAUGCAAGCGUUAUGCGGAAUGAUUGGGCGUAAAGCGUUCGCAGGAGGCUGUUCAAGUCUGCUGUCAAAGACCGGGGCUUAACCCUAGAAAGGCAGUGGAAACUGGACGGCUGGAGUGCAGUAUGGGUAGAGGGAAUUCCCAGUGUAGCGGUGAAAUGCGUAGAGAUUGGGAAGACAACCGGUGGCGAAAGCGCUCUGCUGGACUGCAACUGACACUGAGGGUCGAAAGCUAGGGGAGCGAAAGGG
rnacentral:rRNA from 1 species